UUGAAGAGUUUGAUCAUGGCUCAGAUUGAACGCUGGCGGCAGGCCUAACACAUGCAAGUCGAACGGUAACAGGAAGCAGCUUGCUGCUUCGCUGACGAGUGGCGGACGGGUGAGUAAUGUCUGGGAAACUGCCUGAUGGAGGGGGAUAACUACUGGAAACGGUGGCUAAUACCGCAUAACGUCGCAAGACCAAAGAGGGGGACCUUCGGGCCUCUUGCCAUCAGAUGUGCCCAGAUGGGAUUAGCUUGUUGGUGAGGUAACGGCUCACCAAGGCGACGAUCCCUAGCUGGUCUGAGAGGAUGACCAGCCACACUGGAACUGAGACACGGUCCAGACUCCUACGGGAGGCAGCAGUGGGGAAUAUUGCACAAUGGGCGCAAGCCUGAUGCAGCCAUGCCGCGUGUAUGAAGAAGGCCUUCGGGUUGUAAAGUACUUUCAGCGGGGAGGAAGGUGUUGUGGUUAAUAACCGCAGCAAUUGACGUUACCCGCAGAAGAAGCACCGGCUAACUCCGUGCCAGCAGCCGCGGUAAUACGGAGGGUGCAAGCGUUAAUCGGAAUUACUGGGCGUAAAGCGCACGCAGGCGGUCUGUCAAGUCGGAUGUGAAAUCCCCGGGCUCAACCUGGGAACUGCAUUCGAAACUGGCAGGCUUGAGUCUUGUAGAGGGGGGUAGAAUUCCAGGUGUAGCGGUGAAAUGCGUAGAGAUCUGGAGGAAUACCGGUGGCGAAGGCGGCCCCCUGGACAAAGACUGACGCUCAGGUGCGAAAGCGUGGGGAGCAAACAGGAUUAGAUACCCUGGUAGUCCACGCCGUAAACGAUGUCUACUUGGAGGUUGUGCCCUUGAGGCGUGGCUUCCGGAGCUAACGCGUUAAGUAGACCGCCUGGGGAGUACGGCCGCAAGGUUAAAACUCAAAUGAAUUGACGGGGGCCCGCACAAGCGGUGGAGCAUGUGGUUUAAUUCGAUGCAACGCGAAGAACCUUACCUGGUCUUGACAUCCACAGAAGUUUCCAGAGAUGGAUUGGUGCCUUCGGGAACUGUGAGACAGGUGCUGCAUGGCUGUCGUCAGCUCGUGUUGUGAAAUGUUGGGUUAAGUCCCGCAACGAGCGCAACCCUUAUCCUUUGUUGCCAGCGGUUAGGCCGGGAACUCAAAGGAGACUGCCAGUGAUAAACUGGAGGAAGGUGGGGAUGACGUCAAGUCAUCAUGGCCCUUACGACCAGGGCUACACACGUGCUACAAUGGCGCAUACAAAGAGAAGCGACCUCGCGAGAGCAAGCGGACCUCAUAAAGUGCGUCGUAGUCCGGAUUGGAGUCUGCAACUCGACUCCAUGAAGUCGGAAUCGCUAGUAAUCGUGGAUCAGAAUGCCACGGUGAAUACGUUCCCGGGCCUUGUACACACCGCCCGUCACACCAUGGGAGUGGGUUGCAAAAGAAGUAGGUAGCUUAACCUUCGGGAGGGCGCUUACCACUUUGUGAUUCAUGACUGGGGUGAAGUCGUAACAAGGUAACCGUAGGGGAACCUGCGGUUGGAUCACCUCCUUA
rnacentral:rRNA from 1 species